rnacentral:tRNA from 1 species
ACCUGGCUGGUUCAAUUGUUGGAGCAUGUGACUCUUGAUCUCUGGGUUGUGAGUUCGAGCCCCACGCUGGGUA